CUCGCCAGGGAACAACGAGCUCAGCUUAAAACCCAAAGGACUUGGCGGUGCUUUAGACCCACCUAGAGGAGCCUGUUCUGGAACCGAUACCCCCCGUUAAACCUCACCCCCUCUUGUCUGUCCCGCCUAUAUACCGCCGUCGUCAGCUUACCCUUUAAAGGCUCAAUAGUAAGCAGAAUUGGCUUACGCCAAAACGUCAGGCCGAGGUGUAGCGUACGAGGCGGGAAGAAAUGGGCUACAUUUACUACUAUAGUAAAUACGAAUGAUACCAUGAAAUAAUUAUCUGAAGGUGGAUUUAGCAGUAAGACGAAAAUAGAGUGUUCAUCUGAAAAAGGCCCUGAAGCGCGCACACACCGCCCGUCACUCUCCCCUAGCCUGCAUAUAAGUUUAUAAAUAGAAUUAAAGUAUUAAGGGGAGGCAAGUCGUAACAUGGUAAGUGUACCGGAAGGUGCACUUGGAAAAA
rnacentral:rRNA from 1 species